AGUGAACGCUGGCGGUAGGCCUAACACAUGCAAGUCGAACGGCAGCACAGUAAGAGCUUGCUCUUACGGGUGGCGAGUGGCGGACGGGUGAGGAAUACAUCGGAAUCUACUUUUUCGUGGGGGAUAACGUAGGGAAACUUACGCUAAUACCGCAUACGACCUACGGGUGAAAGCAGUGGAUCUUCGGACCUUGCGCGAUUGAAUGAGCCGAUGUCGGAUUAGCUAGUUGGCGUGGUAAAGGCCCACCAAGGCGACGAUCCGUAGCUGGUCUGAGAGGAUGAUCAGCCACACUGGAACUGAGACACGGUCCAGACUCCUACGGGAGGCAGCAGUGGGGAAUAUUGGACAAUGGGCGCAAGCCUGAUCCAGCCAUACCGCGUGGGUGAAGAAGGCCUUCGGGUUGUAAAGCCCUUUUGUUGGGAAAGAAAAGCAGCAGGUUAAUACCCCGCUGUUCUGACGGUACCCAAAGAAUAAGCACCGGCUAACUUCGUG
rnacentral:rRNA from 1 species